GACGAACGCUGGCGGCGUGCCUAAUACAUGCAAGUCGAACGCAGUGGGGACGGGUGAGUAACACGUGGGUAACCUCCCAUCAGAGGGGAUAACCCUUGGAAACAGGUGCUAAACCGAUACUGAUGGAUGGACCCGCGGUGCAUUGGCUAGUUGGUGAGGUAACGGCUCACCAAGGCCACGAUGCAUAGCCAACAUGAGAGUGUGUUGGGCAACACUGGGACUUAGACACGGCCCAGACUCCGACGGGAGGCAGCAGUAGAGAAUGUUCGGCAAUGGACGAAAGUCUGACCGAGCAACGCCGCGUGAGUGAAGAAGGUUUUCGGAUCGUAAAACUCUGUUGUUAGAGAAGCGGUAUCUAACCAGAAAGCCACGGCUAACUACGUGCCAGCAGCAGAGGUAAUAC
rnacentral:rRNA from 1 species